rnacentral:rRNA from 1 species
UUUCGCAAUGCCCGAAAGGGUGACGAAGCGACGCCGCGUGUGGGAAGAAGGCCUUCGGGUUGUAAACCACUGUCGGGAGUUAGGAAAUGUAAAGGUGCUAAUAGUAUCCUUACUUGACUAAGGCUCCGGAGGAAGCCACGGCUAACUCUGUGCCAGCAGCCGCGGUAAUACAGAGGCGGCAAGCGUUGUUCGGAAUUAUUGGGCGUAAAGAGCACGUAGGCGGCCUUGUAAGUCAGUUGUGAAAGCCUUCUGCUUAACGGAAGAACAGCAGCUGAUACUGCAAGGCUAGAGUGCGGAAGGGGAGAGUGGAACUUCUGGUGGAGCGGUGAAAUGCGUAGAUAUCAGAAGGAACACCGGCGGCGAAGGCGACUCUCUGGUCCGUAACUGACGCUGAGUGUGCGAAAGCUAGGGGAGCAAACGGGAUUAGAUACCCCGGUAGUCCUAGCCGUAAACGAUGGGCACUAAGUAGAGGGGUUUUA